ACUGCCCCUAGAGGCAUUGCAGGUGUGGCUGUAGUGACAAAUGUGAGUCAGUAGGCGGCAGAGAGGAGAAAGGCUGUGUCUACAUCCAGUAUUCUGACCUAAGACACCUGAAUGAUUAGCAGCUUAAUGGU